GACGAACGCUGGCGGCGUGCUUAACACAUGCAAGUCGAACGGAAAGGCCCUGCUUUUGUGGGGUGCUCGAGUGGCGAACGGGUGAGUAACACGUGAGUAACCUGCCCUUGACUUUGGGAUAACUUCAGGAAACUGGGGCUAAUACCGGAUAGGAGCUCCUGCUGCAUGGUGGGGGUUGGAAAGUUUCGGCGGUUGGGGAUGGACUCGCGGCUUAUCAGCUUGUUGGUGGGGUAGUGGCUUACCAAGGCUUUGACGGGUAGCCGGCCUGAGAGGGUGACCGGCCACAUUGGGACUGAGAUACGGCACAGACUCCUACGGGAGGCAGCAGUGGGGAAUAUUGCACAAUGGGCGGAAGCCUGAUGCAGCAACGCCGCGUGCGGGAUGACGGCCUUCGGGUUGUAAACCGCUUUCGCCUGUGACGAAGCGUGAGUGACGGUAAUGGGUAAAGAAGCACCGGCUAACUACGUG
rnacentral:rRNA from 1 species